GGAAAAGAAACUAACAAGGAUUCCCCUAGUAACGGCGAGUGAAGUGGGAAAAGCUCAACUUUAAAAUCUGGCAGCUUCGCUGUCCGAGUUGUAGUCUCGAGAAGUGUUUUCCGCGCUGGAUCGUGUAUGAGUCUGUUGGAAUACAGCGUCAUAGAGGGUGAGAACCCCGUUCAUGACACGACUACCAGUGCUUUGUGAUACACUUUCGAUGAGUCGAGUUGUUUGGGAAUGCAGCUCAAAAUGGGUGGUAAAUUCCAUCUAAAGCUAAAUAUUGGCGAGAGACCGAUAGCAAACAAGUACCGUGAGGGAAAGAUGAAAAGCACUUUGGAAAGAGAGUUAACAGUACGUGAAAUUGUCGAAAGGGAAACGCUUGAAGUCAGACGUGCGCGGUGCGAUUCAGCCUUGGUUCGCCAGGGUGUACUUCGUACCAUUGCAGGCCAGCAUCGGUUUUGUGAGCCGGAUAAAGGUUAGAGGAAGGUAGCGGUCCAGGCCGUGUUAUAGCCUCUAACUGAAUACGGAUUGUGAGACCGAGGGACGCAGCGCGCCGCAAGGCAAAGGGUCCGCCCUUUUCGCGCUUAGGAUGCUGGUGAAAUGGCUUUAAACGACCCG
rnacentral:rRNA from 1 species